GCCGAUAAAGGCACACGCGCAGUUCUGCGCCGGGACUGGCGCUGGAGUGAAGCAGUGCCCUGAUUCGUGCAUGCGUAUUGCUUUCCUGAGACUUCUGGUCCCGGGUUUCUGUGGAGUCGGUGUUCCUGGGCGCCGGUACCGCGACAGUGAAUCUCCGGGCUGCUCACGUUCCGCUGUCGCUGCGAGGGCUUUUACGCGGCUGGGGGAAGGUGCGGGGCUGGGGCUGGAAGGGCCGUUCGCUAAUUCACAGGGGUGGCGAGCAAAUUGCGUGGCACGAGGCGCUGUGGAGCAGCUGUGAGCCCAACCGCUCCGUUCCUUGGACUGCAGCAACUGCACCAGUUGCUCGAGCUCUUCCCACUGCAGGAGCUCAGAACUGACAAGAACCCUGACCCAAGCAGCGACUUCAGCAAUCCCGCGUCGAGCCGCAGCAGCAAUGGGGCACUG